GAUGAACGCUAGCGACAGGCCUAACACAUGCAAGUCGAGGGGCAGCACGAAUCAAGCUUGCUUGAUUUGGUGGCGACCGGCGCACGGGUGCGUAACAGGUGUGCAAUCUGUCCAUAAUCGGGGAAUAGCCCAGCGAAAGUUGGAUUAAUGCUCCAUGUGAGUUUUAGAGGCAUCUCUUUAACUUGAAACGCAAGGAUUAUGGGUGAGCACGCUUCUGAUUAGGUAGUUGGUGAGGUAACGGCUCACCAAGCCGACGAUCAGUAGGGGUUCUGAGAGGAAGGUCCCCCACAUUGGAACUGAGACACGGUCCAAACUCCUACGGGAGGCAGCAGUGGGGAAUAUUGGUCAAUGGGCGCAAGCCUGAACCAGCCAAGUCGCGUGAAGGAUGAAGGUUCUAUGGAUUGUAAACUUCUUUUGUCUGAGGGUAAAAAAGCGGACGUGUCCGUUCUUGCAAGUAUCAGACGAAUAAGCAUCGGCUAACUCCGUGCCAGCCGCCGCCGUAAUAC
rnacentral:rRNA from 1 species